UACGUAGGGGGCAAGCGUUGUCCGGAAUCAUUGGGCGUAAAGAGCGCGUAGGCGGCUCGGUAAGUCCGCUGUGAAAGUCCAGGGCUCAACCCUGGAAUGCCGGUGGAAACUGUCGAGCUAGAGUCCGGAAGAGGCGAGUGGAAUUCCUGGUGUAGCGGUGAAAUGCGCAGAUAUCAGGAGGAACACCAAUGGCGAAGACAGCUCGCUGGGACGGUACUGACGCUGAGACGCGAAAGCGUGGGGAGCAAACAGG
rnacentral:rRNA from 1 species